ACCCUUAACUACGACUACAACACUCAUGGCUACUACAGCAACCCAACCCCAAACCACAACUACCCCCACACCUGCAACCACACCAGUGCCAACUACAACCACCCAGUCCCCAACCAUGGCUACAAUGACAGCCACAGCCCAUCUCCCAACAACUUCACUUAUUACAAUCUCCACUACAAAUUCAACAUAUGCUUCAAGACCAGGUUUUAUUGUUGCUCUGAAUGGCAAGAUAUCUAUAAGAUAUAAGUCACUAAAAAAUGAUUAUGCAACCAUUGAAAAACAGAUUAAAGAUGAACUGGUCAGACGAGGACUGCCAUCAACUAUGAAUGUUAGCCUCCUGGGCCCUGUUUAAG